CUGCUCAGGAUGAACGCUGGCGGCGUGCUAAUACAUGCAAGUCGAGCGAACAGACGAGGAGCUUGCUCCUUUGACGUUAGCGGCGGACGGGUGAGUAACACGUAGGUAACCUACCUAUAAGACUGGGAUAACUUCGGGAAACCGGAGCUAAUACCGGAUAAUAUUUCGAACCGCAUGGUUCGAUAGUGAAAGAUGGCUUUGCUAUCACUUAUAGAUGGACCUGCGCCGUAUUAGCUAGUUGGUAAGGUAACGGCUUACCAAGGCAACGAUACGUAGCCGACCUGAGAGGGUGAUCGGCCACACUGGAACUGAGACACGGUCCAGACUCCUACGGGAGGCAGCAGUAGGGAAUCUUCCGCAAUGGGCGAAAGCCUGACGGAGCAACGCCGCGUGAGUGAUGAAGGUCUUCGGAUCGUAAAACUCUGUUAUUAGGGAAGAACAAACGUGUAAGUAACUGUGCACGUCUUGACGGUACCUAAUCAGAAAGCCACGGCUAACUACGUGCCAGCAGCCGCGGUAAUACGUAGGUGGCAAGCGUUAUCCGGAAUUAUUGGGCGUAAAGCGCGCGUAGGCGGUUUUUUAAGUCUGAUGUGAAAGCCCACGGCUCAACCGUGGAGGGUCAUUGGAAACUGGAAAACUUGAGUGCAGAAGAGGAAAGUGGAAUUCCAUGUGUAGCGGUGAAAUGCGCAGAGAUAUGGAGGAACACCAGUGGCGAAGGCGACUUUCUGGUCUGUAACUGACGCUGAUGUGCGAAAGCGUGGGGAUCAAACAGGAUUAGAUACCCUGGUAGUCCACGCCGUAAACGAUGAGUGCUAAGUGUUAGGGGGUUUCCGCCCCUUAGUGCUGCAGCUAACGCAUUAAGCACUCCGCCUGGGGAGUACGACCGCAAGGU
rnacentral:rRNA from 1 species